ACUCCUACGGGAGGCAGCAGUAAGGGAAUAUUGGACAAUGGGCGCAAGCCUGAUCCAGCCAUCCCGCGUGCAGGAAGACAGCCCUAUGGGUUUUAAACUGCUUUAGAAAGGGAAGAAACGCCUACAAUUUAUGUGGGUUUGACGGUACCUUCAGAAUAAGCACCGGCUAACUCCGUGCCAGCAGCCGCGGUAAUACGGAGGGUGCGAGCGUUAUCCGGAAUUACUGGGUUUAAAGGGUGCGUAGGGCGGGCGAUUAAGUCAGAGGUGAAAUGCUUUC
rnacentral:rRNA from 1 species